GACAGAGGAGCCAAGCGUUGUUCGGAAUUACUGGGCUUAAAGGGUGCGUGGGCUGCGCGGAAAGUUGGGUGUGAAAUCCCUCGGCUCAACCGAGGAACUGCGCCCAAAACUACCGUGCUCGAGGAAGAUAGAGGUAAGCGGAACUUACGGUGGAGCGGUGAAAUGCGUUGAUAUCGUAAGGAACACCUGUGGCGAAAGCGGCUUACUGGGUCUUUUCUGACGCUGAUGCACGAAAGCUAGGGGAGCAAACGGG
rnacentral:rRNA from 1 species